rnacentral:lncRNA from 1 species
GUGCUGGACGAUAAUUCGAUAACAAUAUAUAUCGAUCGAUAGACGUGUGGUGCGAUAGAAAAAAAACGGGUCGAUAAAAAGUUCGAUAGAAAAACACAGUUUCCCUUUCUUUUUCAUCAUAGCCUAUCAUGUAGCUUUUACUACAGUCAUUACUUCCUCCCAACCAAUCACAAACGCAGACCCAGGUACGCUACGGCACCAAGCCCAGCCCCUAUCAAACCACAACAGACAGCACGUGUAGUAGAAAAAAUGAUACAGCAAGGAGAAGCGGAGGACAUUGUCCCGAAAAAAGGUUUUAGUAGUUCACCAGCA